UUCGAAUUGAAUAUCACCAAGACCAUAGGCUAUGAACUUCUCUCUUCUCUUGUUCCUAUUCUCUGAGUAUAUGCACCGUUGGGUCUGAAAUUUACUCUGUUACCUGUGCACCUUUGCUGAAACCUCAUGUAUCCUUGCUGAAUUGUUGUGAUCCUUGGCUGGAUAUUAAGUUAGUAGUUAUUCUCCUGUGAGCUGUUGUCACUUUAAUUGGUUGCAUGAGUUGCGUGUGAUAUCUGAACCAUCUUCCAUGUGCUAGUGUUACUUGUCUGUUUGCUUACAAGAAAAUCACUAAAAAGAGAAGGUCCUAUUUCUGAACCCUUUUACCCUUGCUACAUAUUAUUUUGUUUUACCUUGUUCCAGUAGCUGCUUGUUGUCACUUCGGUUGGAUUCAUCUGUUCAGUUGUUCUGAAUGCUUCAAAUGUGUGCUCCGAAGUUCUAGAUCCCUGUGGAGAGCACGACAUCCGUAGUUCGGGGUGUAAAAACCCCGCUAUAUUACAAACGAUCAUUUUGGCGCCGUUGCCGGGGAUCUAAAUUUCAUUAGCACAUUAGUAGAAGCAGAUCGGGAUUUAUUUUAGGUCGAUUACGUCGUAUUGCUAGCAACUAACCAUUUCCUAACAUUGUCUGCAGUUUUGAGAAAACUAGCGUGUGUCAAUUUCAGGAACUUUACAGGAAAUUGUCUUAUGCUUCAACCUGAACAUUCACUAGAGCCAUUUGAUCCAUAAAUUGAAAGGACUUUAUUGAGAAGAAUAAGAGAGAAUCAAACACGGUUUCAAGUUGCUGAAACUUUGCAAGAUCAAGAAGAAGAAAAGAUGCCUGAUCCAGUAGCUCUGCUCAGGGACUUGUGGAUCCCAAGAGAUCAUGGGAUAUCAGGAGAAAUGGUGCAACCAAUUAUUUAGGCGAACAAUUUUGAAUUGAAGCCUACUCUGAUUAACAUGGUACAAUAGUCCAGAUUUGGUGGAACAGCUUUAGAAGACCCACAUGAGCAUAUAAGGACUUUCUUGGGGUAUUGUAACACCCUCAAGCAAAAUGGAGUUUCACCGAGGGCUAUCAGAUUAUCACUAUUUCCAUUUUCCUUGAGAGAUGGAGCAAGAGUAUGGCUUCACUCAUUGCCUGAACAUCUGAAGGAUACUUGGGAGACUUUAUUGCAGACAUUUCUUGAGAGAUACUUUCCACCAACAAAAGCUGCUGAAUACAGGGACAAGUUAACAAGGUUCACUCAAUAUGAUGGAGAGAGUUUGUAUGACGCAUGGCAAAGAUUCAACUCUUUAAUCAGAAUGUGUCCUUAUCAUGGUUUAGAAAGAUGGCUGGUGUUACAAACCUUUUACAAAGGACUGUCUACUCAGACUAGAGCUUUUGUCGAUUCUGCUGUUGGAGGAGGAAUCAUGAACAAAACCCUUGAUGAAGCAUUUGCAUUGAUUGAAAGUAUGGCGUCUCAUCAUUUCCAAUGGUCAAGUGAAAGAGCAAUAGCACCACCACAUCUUGGUGUGUACAAUGUGUCUGCAAAUGAUAGCAUGGCGGCUCAGAUUGACAUCUUAAACAAGAAGAUGGAUAGUAUCAUGUCAAAUUGCAUCGGUACAUCUGUAGCUUCAGUAAGUGUGCCUCAAAUGUGCGAUGUAUGUGGCCAAGCAGGUCAUCCUUCAACAGAAUGUACCUUCUAUUCAGCAAUUGGAUCAUCGGUUUCAGAAGUAAGUUAUGCCCAAAGUCAAGGUCCAUUCUCAAACAGCUACAAUCCUUCAUGGAGGAAUCAUCCAAACUUGUCGUACAAGAACAAUCAGUCAUAUGCAAGUGGAUCGACAAUACAAGGAAAUCGACCACCAAAUCAUCCAAGUCAAUUUCAAGUGCCGAGGCAGAAUGAACAAAAAAAUGUUCAGUCAAAUGGAAUGGAGGAAAUCAUGAAAAUGCAGUUGGAAUUGAUGAGCAAGAUGACAAAUGAAGUUAAUGGCUUAAAGGAUAAUGUUAAGAUGCUUGUGAGCAAAAUGGAUAGUAUGGUGGGAGAAAAUGAAGCAAGGCUGCCUGCGCAACCAAUUCCAAACCCGAAAGCUCACUAUGGGGCAAUAUCUUCAGUUGAUGCAGUGACUACAAGGAGUGGAGUUAUGUCAGGACCAUUACUACCUACUCCGAAGACAUAUGUCCCUCCUGCUAUGAGGCCAAGUUCAUCCGGAACUCCACCUUUAACAUCAUCGGAGAAACUAAAGGAGAAAGAAGUUGAUAACCGAAUUGAAACUGAAGUCGAAUUUCCUGGUUUUCAAACAAGAGCUGAGCCUUUGCUAGAGGAAGCAAUAACAACCAACAACAUUCCUUUUCCUGAGCGGUUCAACAAAUCCAAAGAUGACAAGCAAUUUGCCAAAUUCUUGGAAACUAUGAAGGGAGUUCAGAUUACCAUUCCUAUUCUUGAAGCUGUCCUGCAUGUUCCAAUGUAUGCCAAAUAUUUCAAGGAAUUGCUAACAAAGAAAAGAAGCAUGUCUGAGCCAGAAGUAGUGACUUUAUCAAAGGAAUGCAGUGCGAUAAUUCAGAAUUCCAUGCCUGAAAAAUUGGAUGAUCCAGGAAGCUUUUGUGUUCCAUGUGUGAUUGGAAACAAAACUUAUAGUGCUCUGUGUGAUUUGGGCUCAAGUGUUAGUGUGUUACCACAUUCAGUUAGCAAAAGGAUGAUCUUGGGAGAAUUAAAUCCAACAGCCAUAACUCUUCAGUUAGCUGACAGAACAUAUAGGAAACCUGUUGGAAUUCUUGAGGAUGUUCCAAUCAAAGUUGGGAAGUUUGCUUAUCCGGUUGACUUUGUAGUGCUAGAUAUGGAGGACAAAAGUGAGGCUGUGAUCCUUGGAAGACCAUUUUUGGCCACAGCUGGUGCACUUAUUGAUGUCCAAGAAGCUAAAUUGAGCCUGAGGUUUGGAAAUGAAAAGGUGGAGUUUGACAUGAAGCAUGCAACACAUGUUCCGCAAGAAGAAAAGCACUGCUACAAAAUUGAUACACUACAGAAAUGUGUGGAAGAAGGCUAUGAAGAGAGGUAUUGAAGUAAUUGUUGUGAAGUAGUUGAGGAGGACAAUAGUGAAAUAAGAUAUGAAGAAAUCAGACCUGUUAGCAUAUUGGAAAGCAGUACAAGGCCACUAGAUAAGAUGCAACCAAGGCAAAUAGAAAUGAAACAACUUCCGGAAAGUUUGAAAUAUGCAUUCUUAGAUAAUGACAAUCAGUAGCCAAUUAUCGUGAAUAGGGAGUUGACGGAAAGGCAAAUAAAAGUGCUUCAAGCAGUUUUGCAAAAGUACAAGGAUGUUAUUGGAUAUUCAAUUGAAGAUAUGAAAGGGAUAAAUCCUGCUGUCUGCUCUCAUAGGAUUUACUUGAAAGAAAGCAGUGUACCAAUUAGAGAAAGUCAAAGAAGAUUAAAUCCCCAUUUGCAAGAGGUUGUUAAAAAGGAGAUUCUUAAAUUGCUCUCUGCCGAUAUCAUAAUACCCAAUUUCGGACAUCGAGUGGGUGUGUCCCAUUCACAUGGUGCCCAAGAAAGGAGGAAUAGCUGUCAUUGAAAAUGAACAAGGGCAAACGAUUCCUAGUAGGACUAUCACAGGGUGGGGAAUGGUCAAUGAUUUCAGAAAGUUAAAUGAAGUGACGAGGAAGGACCAUUUUCAUUUACCUUUCAUUGACCAAAUGCUGGAAAGGCAUGCUAGGCAUGAAUAUUUCUGCUGCUUAGAUGGGUAUUCAGGAUUCUUGCAAAUCCCAAUUCAUCCGGAUGAUCAAGAUAAAACAACUUUCACUUGCCCAUACGGAACAUUUGCUUACAAAAGACUAGCCUAUGGACUUUGUAAUGCACCCCCAACAUUUCAAAGGUUUAUGCUCUCUAUAUUCUAUGAUAUGAUAGGAAUCAAAGUGGAGGUGUUCAUAGAUGAUAUUACAGUCGUUGGGAAAAGUUAUGAGGAUUGCUUGAAUAAUUUGGCAGCAGUUCUUCAGAGGUGUUCAGAACACAAUCUAGUCUUAAACUGGGAGAAGUGUCAGUUUCUUGUGAAGGAAGGAAUUAUUUUGGGACAUUUGGUAUCUGAAAGAGGAAUUGAGGUUGAUCAAGCAAAAGUUGAAGUAAUACCAAAACUUCCACCACCUGUAAAUGUGAAGGGAGUAAGGAGCUUUUUGGGACAUGCUGGGUUCUAUAGAAGAUUCAUAAAGGAUUUCUCCAAGAUAGCCAAACCCCUCACUAAUCUCCUAAACAAUGAUGUUAAGUUCAACUUUGAUGCAGAAUGUGAAAAAUCCUUCAACUUGCUCAAGGAAGCAUUGGUCACUGCUCCAGUAGUGCAACCCCCUGACUGGGAAUUACCAUUUGAGAUAAUGUGUGACACAAGUGACUUUGCUGUGGGUGAAGUACUGGGACAAAGAAAAUGAAAGAUUUGCAUGUAAUAUACUAUGCUAGCAAAAAUCUUCAUGGUGCUCAAGCUAAUUACACAACCACAUAAAAGGAGUUGUUGGCAGUAGUGUAUGCCUUUGACAAAUUCAGGCAAUAUCUUGUAGGGUCUCAUUGUGUAGUUUACACAGACCACGCUGCAAUUAGAUAUCUACUCAGCAAGAAAGAAGCCAAGCCAAGGUUAAUUAGAUGGAUACUCUUGCUUCAAGAAUUUGAUGUGGAAAUCAAGGAUAAGAAAGGAGCUGAAAAUGUUGUGGCAGAUCACUUGUCGAGGUUGCAAAACAAUGCAGUAGACUCCUUACCUAUCAAUGAUGUUUUACCAGGGAGCAAUCUUAUGCAAGUGACUAGUAUACAAAAUUAUACACCAUGGUAUGCAUAUAUAGUUAAUUAUCUGGUCUGUAACAAAGUCCCUACAGAUUUUGGGUAUCAAAAGAAGAAGAAAUUCUUAUCAGAUAUGAAGCACUUCUUUUGGGAUGAACCUUACUUAUUCAAACAUUGUGCUGAUGGCAUUGUUCGAAGAUGCUUGCCGAAGGUGAAGCUAAAAGUGUGAUCUAUCAUUGCCAUUCAUCCCCUUAUGGAGGUCAUGCAAGUACUAGGAAGACUCAAGCGAAAAUUUUGCAAGCGGGAUUUUACUGGCCAACUUUAUUCAAGGAUGUACAUUCCUAUAUUGAAGCUUUUGAUCCUUGUCAGAGAACUGGAAAGAUUUGAAAAAGGCAAGAGAUGCCUCAAAAAGGAAUUCUUGAAGUAGAGCUCUUUCAUGUAUGGGGAAUUGAUUAUGUUGGACCCUUGCCAUCAUCAAAAGGGUACAAAAUACAUAUUGGUGGCAGUGGACUAUGUGUCAAAAUGGGUUGAGGCUGUACCAACCGUCAAUGCUGAUUCCAAGUCAGUUUGCAAUUUGUUCAAGCAAGUGAUCUUUCCAAGAUUUGGUGUGCCACGGAUUGUUAUCAGUGAUGGAGGAACACAUUUCAUCAACUCCCAACUACAAUCUCUCUUAGCAAAAUAUGGAGUUCAUAAUCACAGAAUUACAACUCCAUAUCACCCGCAAGCAAAUGGACAAGUGGAGUUGUCUAAUAGAGAAAUAAAGGCCAUUCUCGAGAAGGUAGUAUCAAAGUCAAGGUCUGACUGGGUACUGAAAUUACCAGACACACUAUGGGCAUAUAGGACAGCCUAUAAAACACCAAUAGGAAUGUCACCAUUCAGGUUAAUAUAUGGAAAAGCAUGCCAUCUACCCAUUGAACUUGAACACAAAGCUCAGUGGGCACUAAGGAAACUCAAUAUGGACCUUGAUGCAGCAGGAAAAUACAGAAAACUUCAACUCUGUGAAAUGGAAGAACUGAGAGCUGACUCUUAUGAGAGUGCAAGAAUAUACAAAGAAAAGACCAAGAUCUGGCAUGACAAGCAUAUAUUGAGGAAAGAAUUUCAUCUUGGACAGUUGGUAUUGGUCUAUGAUACUAGGUUUCAUUUAUUUCUUGGUAAAUUCAAGUCAAGAUGGUAUGGCCCUUGCAAGGUGAAGAAGAUUCUGCAAAAUGGUGCUAUUCAAGUGCAAAGUACUUCUGGAGGUCUCUUCCUUGUAAAUGGUCAAAGACUGAAGCCCUACAUCCCUGGAGAUCCACUUCUUAUUUCUGAAGAUGAGAAUGCAAGCGAAGAUCAAGACCCAGAGGAGGAAAUUCAAGAAGGUGAGGGGACCCAAGAGGUGUCAAUCCCUGCAGGACCCUGACCUCACUGACAAGACAUGGUCGAGCUAAAGACCUAAAACAAGCGCUUUUCAGGAGGCAACCUAAAUCUUUAAUAAGUUAUUUUCCUUAUUUAGUUUUCAUAGAUUUUUUCUUGUGUUUAUGUCUUUCUUUUUCAACAAAUAAAGGCGAGGGGAGCACAAACAGGGAACACAAACAGAGAAGAGUGGAGAGAAGAAAGUAGGAGAGAAGAGUAUACAAAUACCAGGUGAUUCUGUUCCACCUGAAGCAACCUUUAGAAAAUUUAGUACGAGAACUGGCAUUUAAUUGCAUUGAAACUCUUUUUUGCAUUGUGACACCUUACUCUUCACUGCAAAGUAGGAUUCACUCCAAGAAGAUUGUUGAUUCUCUUAAUACUAAAACUAUGCAGCUGUAUUCUUCUUAUGGUAAUUUGUGAUAAUGAAUACUUUAUACCUCCAUAUAAAUGUUCAAUGGGAAUGCCUUGAGUCUAAGUGAAACCUACUAAUGAAUUGAAGUGUUGUGUCUGACUGUCCCAAGUUAAGCUAAGUAACUGGUGGCACUUAAGUAGUAGCUAUGAUCUCUGGAUCUGUAGUCUGUGAAAAAUAGUGCCACUAGCUAUGGAUUCCUCUUUCAAUUAUUCCUAUUUUACUUAAGCUAAGUAAUUUUCAAAUAACUAAAUAAAAUAAUUAUAAUAAUUUAAGUCCGAUCGACCUACAGUAGCAUGUCAUGUUCUCGGGAUCGGUGGCUUGUGAAAUCUGGUAGAUUGGACUGUAAAAACAAAUUAUAUAAAAAAUGCUAUUAUUGUCGAACCAGGUGUAUACCAUGUUAUCGGGAUCGGUGGUAUGUUCCUUUGGGGAGAUAAUAACAAAAAAUAUAUACUAAUAAUUUGUCGAACCAGGUGUAUACCAUGUUCUCGAGAUCGGUGAUAUGUUCCUUUGGGGAGAUAAUAAAAAAAUAUACUAAUAAUUUGGUCGAGCCAGGUGUAUACCAUGUUCUCGGGAUCGGUGGUAUGUUCCUUUGGUGAGACUGAUAUAAUUUCAUCACUUGUGCUUUAAUUUCAAUAAGUAACUUGUUUUUCUAAUUGAUUUUGGGGUCCCAGCUUAUCUCAGGGCUGAAGACAGAGCCAGCUCUUGAUUAUUAGGAUGCACUUUGACUCAAGGCCAUUGACACGGAACAUUUACAGUGUGUUAUAAAUUAUUGCUUAUCACAAUUUAGCUUCAGUAGAGUACACUUGCUUAGUUCAGUAUUGUCGGAAUUACUAUCUAUCGGAAAGUGCAUCUUUACUAGGCAGUGUGAGUUGUGUCACCAUCAUUUUUUUCCUUUGCUUGAGGACAAGCAAAAAAUUGAGUGUGGGGGAAAUAAAUUGAUAGCACAUUUAUACAUAUAGUACUUUUAGCCUUUUUGAGUCACAAAUUAAACAUAUGAUCUCAGUAAUCACUCAUAAAGUAUUCAUUCCUACAGAAAUAUUCCUAUUGUGAUAUUUUUACAACACUUAUUCAUUUUUUGCAGGACUGGUGCGUUUAGGUACCCAAAUUUCGUCGAAAAUGCUUUCAACACUAAAGCGGGGAUCAACUUGGAGAAGAGUUCAGUUCUCAAGGGGGCAACACCGAAAAGUACCAGAGGAGCUGGGGUCUGGCGCGACACACCAGACGUGGUGUCUGAUCCUACGCGCGACUGAACCACCAAGAAGAGGAGUGGGGGUUGAAGGAAAAAUAACCAGGGGGCUGACUGCUCUCGCUCUCCAUGCUGCUCACCUACCACCAGAUCGAACCAGAGGAACACCAGAUUGGAGGGGGAGAAAAAGGGGAUCGAGGGAAGCGAGAAGGAGAACUAGAUCGAAUCCAAGACUCCUUUCUUCCUCUCCACGCUACUCACCCACGAUUGGAUCGAAGGAGGGAAGAGAAGGGAUCAAGGGGAACGAGAGGAACCAGGAGAGCGAGGGUUUCGGGAGGCUGGCGGCCUGGCUUAUCCACCGCGAGGCCUCUCCGCCCUGACCGACGCCCGCGCUGCUCUUCUCCGCCCUACCCCGAUGACCGCUCCUGCUCUUGCUCCAACCUCGAUGACCGCUGCCGCUUCUGCUCCAACACCGACGACCGCGCUGCUCUGCUUCAACUCCGUCGCCCGUUGCUGCUGUUCUUCUGCCAUAGAUCGUCUCCAAUGUGCCCCUGCUGUUCUUCUUCGCCUGCAACAUCUACAGCUUCGAAUUGAAGAUCACCAAGACCAUAGGCUCUGAACUUCUCUCUUCUCUUGUUCCUGUUCUCUGAGUAUAUGCACCGUUGGGUCUGAAAUUUACUCUGUUACCUGUGCACCUUUGCUGAACCCUCAUGUAUCCUUGCUGAAUUGCUGUGAUCCUUGGCUGGAUAUUAAGUUAGUAGUUAUUCUCCUGUGAGCUGCUGUCACUUUAAUUGGUUGCAUGAGUUGUGUGUGAUAUCUGAACCAUAUUACAUGUGCUAGUGUUACUUGUCUGUUUUCUUACAAGAAAAUCACUAAAAAGAGAAAGUCCUAUUUCUGAACCCUUUUACCCUUGUUG
rnacentral:lncRNA from 1 species